AGCGUCUGUGAUGAGCACCUCUUGAUUACCUACCUUGUUUGAGUUUCCCGUGAGAACACUAUCGUUCUGAGACGCCU